GACGGGUGAGUAAUGCCUGGGAAAUUGCCCGGUAGAGGGGGAUAACCAUUGGAAACGACGGCUAAUACCGCAUAACCUCGCAAGAGCAAAGCGGGGGACCUUCGGGCCUUGCGCUACCGGAUAUGCCCAGGUGGGAUUAGCUAGUUGGUGAGGUAAGGGCUCACCAAGGCGACGAUCCCUAGCUGGUCUGAGAGGAUGAUCAGCCACACUGGAACUGAGACACGGUCCAGACUCCUACGGGAGGCAGCAGUGGGGAAUAUUGCACAAUGGGCGCAAGCCUGAUGCAGCCAUGCCGCGUGUAUGAAGAAGGCCUUCGGGUUGUAAAGUACUUUCAGUAGGGAGGAAGGUGGUUAAGUUAAUACCUUAAUCAUUUGACGUUACCUACAGAAGAAGCACCGGCUAACUC
rnacentral:rRNA from 1 species